UCAAUGUAACAAAAAACAUUG
rnacentral:piRNA from 1 species